rnacentral:rRNA from 1 species
CCUACGGGAGGCUGCAGUGAGGAAUAUUGGUCAAUGGACGCAAGUCUGAACCAGCCAUGCCGCGUGCAGGAAGACGGCUCUAUGAGUGGUAAACUGCGUUUGUACGAGGGUAAACGCAGAUACGCGUAUCUGUCUGAAAGGAACGUACGAAUAAGGAUCGGCUAACUCCGUGCCAGCAGCCGCGGUAAGACGGAGGAGUCAAGCGUUAUCCGGAUUUAUUGGGUUGAAAGGGUGCGUAGGCGGUCGGUUAAGUUAGAGGUGAAAUCCCGAGGCUCAACUUCGGAAUUGCCUCUGAUACUGUUCGGCUAGAGCGUAGUUGCGGUAGGCGGAAUGUAUGGUGUAGCGGU